GCCGGGCGUUGUGGCGGGCGCCUGUGGUCCCAGCUACUUGGGAGGCGGAGGCAGGAGACUCGCUUGAGCCCAGGAGUUGGAGGUUGCUGUGAGCUGUAAUGCCACGGCACUCUACCCAGGGGGACAGCUUGAGGCUCUGUCUCAAAAAAAAAACAACAACAACAACAAAAAAACAGAGUUGCACUUUAUUGCCCUUGGUAGAGUGCCAUGGUGUCAUAGCUGACAGUAACCUCAAAUUCUUGGGCUCAAGUGAUUCUCUUGCC
rnacentral:sRNA from 1 species